GGCCUCUCAGGGUCACACCUGGAGAGUUUCCAGUACUCUAUCAUUCUUGGCUACGGGAGGGAGAGUCAAGCAGAGGCCUACCCAUUCCAUUCCUAGCUUGGGCAGUGGCUAAUGACUGAAAGACAAUCUGAAACAAGU